rnacentral:ncRNA from 1 species
UCAGAACGUCGUGAGACAGUUCGGUCUCUAUCUGUUGUGGGCGCAGGAAAUUUGAGAGGAUCUGACACUAGUACGAGAGGACCGUGUUGGACUGACCGCUGGUCAAUCUGUUGUUUCGCCAGGAGCAUGGCAGAGUAGCUAAGUCGGGAACGGAUAAGCGCUGAAAGCAUCUAAGCGCGAAGCCAGCCUCGAGAUAAGAUUUCCACAUGAGGGACGUCGAAGACGACGACGUAGAUAGGUUGCAGAUGUAAAGCCAGCAAUGACAAAGUCGAGCAAUACUAAUUACCCCAACACUUCCCAAA